AGGGGCAGUCCGCGAUCGCCCCGUGAGGCUCCGGCCCAAGCGUCGC
rnacentral:ncRNA from 1 species